rnacentral:rRNA from 1 species
CCAAUAGCGUAUAUUAAAGUUGUUGCAGUUAAAAAGCUCGUAGUUGAAUUUCGGGGUUAGCAGGUCGGUCGUGCCAUCGGUAUGAACUGGUCUCGCUGAUCCCUCCCUCUUGACGAACUGUGAUGCCAUUAAUUUGGUGUCGCAGGGAAUCAGGACUGUUACUUUGAAAAAAUUAGAGUGUUUAAAGCAGGCUCACGCUUGAAUACAUUAGCAUGGAAUAAUGAAAUAGGACGUUUGAUCCUAUUUUGUUGGCUUCUAGGAUUGACGUAAUGAUUAAUAGGGGUAGUUGGGGGCAUUAGUAUUCAAUUGUCAGAGGUGAAAUUCUUGGAUUUAUUGAAGACUAACUACUGCGAAAGCAUUUGCCAAGGAUGUUUUCAUUAAUCAAGAACGAAAGUUAGGGGAUCGAAGACGAUCAGAUACCGUCGUAGUCUUAACCAUAAACUAUGCCGACUAGGGAUCGGAUGAUGUUAAUUUUUUAAUGACUCAUUCGGCGCCUUACG